rnacentral:rRNA from 1 species
UCCAGACUCCUACGGGAGGCAGCAGUGGGGGAUAUUGCACAAUGGGGGGAACCCUGAUGCAGCGACGCCGCGUGGGUGAAGGAGCGUUUCGGCGCGUAAAGCCCUAUCGGCAGGGAAGAAGGAGGACGGUACCUGACUAAGAAGCCCCGGCUAACUACGUGCCAGCAGCCGCGGUAAUACGUAGGGGGCAAGCGUUAUCCGGAUUCACUGGGUGUAAAGGGAGCGUAGACGGCCAGGCAAGCCUGGAGUGAAAGCCCGGGGCCCAACCCCGGGACUGCUCUGGGAACUGUCCGGCUGGAGUGCGGGAGGGGCAGGCGGAAUUCCUGGUGUAGCGGUGAAAUGCGUAGAUAUCAGGAGGAACACCGGCGGCGAAGGCGGCCUGCUGGACCGCGACUGACGUUGAGGCUCGAAAGCGUGGGGAGCGAACAGGAUUAGAUACCCUCGUAC